rfam:Hordeum vulgare subsp. vulgare, WGS project CAJW01000000 data, contig: morex_contig_1560976
CAUGUACUCCCUCCGUCCAGAAAUACUUGUGAGAGAAAUGGAUGUAUCUAGACGCAUUUUAGUUUUAGAUAUAUCCAUUUUGUCCAUUUCUUCAACGAGUAUUUCUGGAUGGAGGGAGUACUUA